AGCAGUCUUCUUGGCGGUCUUUUUUGGGGAGUCGGUGGAAAUGGGCAUCCCAGUCUCGUCAUAGAGCUUCCUCUUCACUGUACUUUUAAUCUGGACCCUUUGGAAAGAGGAGACAAGAGCUACCUCUGAAAACAUCUCAUUGGACACGUCACCCAGACGCGAAUGGAGCGAAGUAGAGAGAUACAAGGGGUAAGAGACCAAGACCGGGUGAAGGACUACAAUGAUAGAGGGCCAUUAGGAAUGAAAAGAGACCGGGGGGGGUCCUUACACGGUGCGUUCCUUGAUGACAGCGCUGAGAGAGUUCAGGUCAUCACCAAACCUCACCACGGCCGAUCUCAGCUGCCCAAUCUCAGUGUCCGUCCACUUAGCUCUGCAACGACACACAGGGCGUUUCAGAUCCACUAGACUACAUUGCAGUUGCACAGAUCUACAAAUGACCUAGCAUCCUAAAUAACUACACAUUAUGAAUUUGUAGAUUAGUCUGGUCAGUUGGUGAUCAGCGAUUGAUGUCCUUGAACGCAGCCAGAGACGAAAAGAGAGUGGACAUGGCGUGGGCGGGUGUCGAGUGCUUUCUGGUAAUAAUGACGCAACAGCGUUUCCUCAGAAUGACCUCUUGGCGUGGAUAUUCAAGAUGGAGCACAUAUCAUUGUAAUGUGUACAGUGUGCUACAAGUGACACAAGCCCAGAAAUUAAAGUCAUGAUCAGUAGACUUCCAAGUUUAGUCUGAUUUUACAACUCUACAUAAUCGAUACAGAUAUUUAUCUCUAUCUGUAACUUGGUGUGUGUAUUCUCACCCUGCGGGACUGGAGUCAGCUACGGGGUGCAGUUGCAUGGUCAGCUCCCCUAACUUGGUGAAAGCAGCUCCUGCUGCUGAGAAGAUCUCCCCAA